GUUGAACGCUGGCGGCGGGCCUAAUACAUGCAAGUCGAGCGAACAGACGAGGAACUUUCUCCCCUGACGUUAGCGUCGCACGGGUGAGUAACACGUGGAUAACCUACCUAUAAGACUGGGAUUACUUCGUGAAACCGGAGCUAAUACCGGAUAAUAUAUUGAACCGCAUGGUUCAAUAGUGAAAGACGGUUUUGCUGUCACUUAUAGAUGGAUCCGCGCGGCUUUAGCUAGUUGGUAAGGUAACGGCUUACCAAGGCGACGAUGCGUAGCCGACCUGAGAGGGUGAUCGGCCACACUGGAACUGAGACACGGUCCAGACUCCUACGGGAGGCAGCAGUAGGGAAUCUUCCGCAAUGGGCGAAAGCCUGACGGAGCAAUGCCGCGUGAAUGAUGAAGGUCUUCGGAUCGUAAAACUCUGUUAUCAGGGAAGAACAAAUGUGUAAGUAACUAUGCACGUAUUGACGUUACCUAAUCAGAAAGCAACGGCUAACUACGUG
rnacentral:rRNA from 1 species